GCCGGUAGCGGUGGGAUGGCGAGCUGAGGCCUUUGGGAGCCCGAAGCUGGUGGAGAGGCUGAAGGGUUCCUGGAGCCGAGGGAGAGGAAGGACGGUGGGGAACAGGUGCCCUGAGACCCGAACUCGCGGGGCGGCUUUUGGUGACAAUCCAGGGGCUUCCUGCCACAGGAAGUUGGGGUGGGCCUCCUAGAUAGGCAGAAGGAAUGAGAAAACGGUGACGGGCUGGCUCCGCCAUCCUUCGACUGCCGCCCCACCCACUGACUUGGAUGUAGCGGCUCGGGAGAGGAUCCGCCGCCCGCCCGGGUGAGUCUUUCCCGUUUCCUUGGCGGAAACAAGGAAAGCAAGGCAAGAAGAGCCAGACGCCGGCUGGAGCCAACGGCAGGAGCACCGAAGCUCGCCCACGAGGCUCUGCAUCAAGCAAUGGGAAAUCCAGAAAACAUCGAAGAUGCUUACGUUGCAGUUAUUCGUCCAAAGAACACUGCUAGUCUCAACUCCCGGGAGUAUAGAGCUAAGUCCUAUGAAAUUUUAUUGCAUGAAGUUCCCAUUGAAGGACAGAAAAAAAAGCGAAAGAAAGUUUUGCUGGAAACUAAACUUCAAAGCAACAGUGAAAUAGCACAAGGCAUAUUGGACUAUGUAGUAGAAACUACCAAACCAAUUUCUCCUGCAAACCAGGGGAUUAAAGGGAAACGAGUGGUGCUGAUGAGGAAGUUUCCUCUGGACGGAGAGAAGACAGGCAGAGAAGCAGCACUGUUUAUCGUGCCAUCAGUUGUCAAAGAUAAUACUAAAUAUGCAUAUACUCCUGGAUGCCCAAUUUUUUACUGCUUACAAGAUAUUAUGAGAGUUUGUAGUGAAUCCAGUACUCACUUUGCAACACUUACAGCAAGGAUGUUAAUAGCCUUGGAUAAGUGGUUAGAUGAACGUCAUGCGCAGUCUCACUUUAUUCCAGCUUUAUUCCGACCUUCUCCCCUUGAACGGAUAAAGACAAAUGUCAUAAACCCUGCGUAUGCUGCUGAAUUAGGCCAGGUAGACAAUUCACUACAUAUGGGCUAUAGUGCACUAGAAAUAAAGAGUAAAAUGCUAGCCCUAGAGAAAGCAGACACCUGCAUUUACAACCCUUUGUUUGGAUCAGAUCUUCAGUAUACAAAUCGGGUAGAUAAAGUGGUAAUAAAUCCAUACUUUGGUCUCGGAGCUCCAGACUACUCAAAAAUCCAAAUUCCCAAACAGGAAAAAUGGCAGCGAAGCAUGAGCAGCGUUGUGGAAGACAAAGAACGACAGUGGGUUGAUGACUUUCCUUUACAUCGAAAUGCCUGUGAAGGAGAUUCAGAAUUACUGAGCCAUCUUCUCGAUAAAGGACUUUCAGUCAACCAACUAGAUAAUGACCACUGGGCACCCAUUCAUUAUGCAUGCUGAAAGCAUCUGUACCAUUGCUUGUCUUCUGAGUAUUCUGUUCUGAUCUUUUGAUUACUGUGUAUAUGCUGCUGUUCGGAACUGCCAGAUCUGCCCUGAGGAGAGCACUCGCAGUCUUCUUUACAAGCCGUACAGAGAGAUAGCCAAUAGGUAUGGAAAAGUUGAGGCCACUCGCAUAUUAUUAGAGAAAGGAAAGUGCAAUCCAAACCUUUUAAAUGGGCAGCUCAGCUCACCGCUUCACUUUGCUGCUGGAGGCGGCCAUGCUGAAAUAGUGCAGAUCCUCCUGACUCACCCAGACAUUGACAGGCACAUAACAGAUCAACAAGGAAGAUCCCCAUUAAAUGUUUGUGAAGAAAACAAACAAAAUAACUGGGAAGAAGCUGCAAAAUUGUUGAAAGACGCCAUUAACAAGCCAUAUGAAAAAGUUCGAAUCUAUAGAAUGGAUGGAUCAUACCGUUCUGUUGAACUAAAGCAUGGCAAUAAUACCACAGCACAGCAGAUAAUGGAGGGAAUGCGGCUCUCUCAGGAAACUCAGCGAUAUUUCACUAUUUGGAUCUGUUCAGAAAAUCUUAGUCUUCAGUUCAAGCCUUAUCAUAAACCCUUGCAACAAGUUCAUGACUGGCCAGAAAUACUUGCUGAAUUGACUAAUUUGGAUCCACAAAGAGAAACACCACAGCUUUUCCUAAGAAGAGAUGUGGGACUUCCUUUAGAAGUUGAGAAAAAGAUUGAAGACCCACUAGCUAUUCUUAUUCUCUUUGAUGAAGCCAGAUAUAAUUUACUGAAGGGCUUUUAUACAGCUCCUGAUGCUAAACUGAUAACACUGGCAAGUCUACUGUUACAAAUAGUUUAUGGGAAUUAUGAGAGUAAAAAGCACAAACAAGGUUUCUUAAAUGAAGAAACUCUGAAAUCCAUCGUACCUAUUACUAAACUGAAAAGUAAGGCGCCUCACUGGAUAAACCGAAUACUCCAUGAGUACAAGAAUCUGAGUCUGAGUGAGGGCGUCAGUAAGGAAAUGCACCACCUGCAGCGCAUGUUCCUACAGAACUGCUGGGAGAUCCCUACGUACGGAGCCGCCUUCUUCACAGGACAGAUAUUUACAAAGGCAAGCCCAAGCAAUCAUAAAGUCAUCCCUGUGUAUGUAGGAGUGAAUAUAAAAGGACUUCAUCUCCUGAACAUGGAAACUAAGGCAUUACUCAUCAGUCUCAAGUACUGUUGCUUUACGUGGCAGCUGGGAGAUGCUGGUACUUGUUUUCAAAUCCAUAGUAUGGAAAAUAAAAUGAGCUUUAUAGUACACACAAAACAGGCUGGCCUUGUGGUAAAGCUGCUAAUGAAGUUAAAUGGACAACUAAUGCCCUCUGAAAGAAAUUCAUGAAAAGAAUUUGAAUUUGAGUACAAACCACCACAUUUUGUAAUGUAGAUUUUUUUCCAUGAAAGAUUUCUGAAAAUAUGACUUAACAAAGCAUGUAGUUUCAUAUAGUAUGUAUAUGCUGUUACAUAUAUUGUACAGAAUCUGUACUCAUGUUUGGUGUGUAAUAUACCACUUAGUUUUGUAUGAUAUGCUCAUAAGCUCUUCUAAUUUUUGAGAGAAACACAUAAAAAUAGAUCAGCAGUCUGGAUUAUAUUAGACAAAAUAGUAUGCUUUAUAAAAAGUUAUUUUUGGUAAAUAGUAAAGAAUUUAGUGUGGAAUGUGAUGAAAUUAAAAUAUAGCUUUGAUAUAAUUUUGUGUGUUACUUCAAAUAUUCUGAAAACCAACAUGAUUUGAAUAAAUAAAAUGUAUUUUGUACUUGAAUCUAUUAUUUAAACCAUUUCUUCUGUAAUCUAUAAGCCUAUCUUAAGGUGUUUUUAAACCUCUUAAUUAAAGGUGUCUCUACCACAAGAUGGGUUUCCUUGCAUCGGUCCUAGUGUCUUUACACACUGAUGAGUCCAGACGCUCACUCCCUGCACAGUUUUCCAUCCUCUGGGUGUACCAAGGAUGGUUUGGGAAUAAUUUCUUAAUUUUAAAUCUCAGAUCUAAUUAAAUUAGACCACUGGCUGUCAUAUCAAAGCACACACACAAGCAGAUAAUUUUUAUGUCAUUUUCUACUCUUGACAUUAACUUUUUAUUCUAAAUGAUACUAUAUGUAAGCCUUAUUAAUAUUAGAAUUAUGUAGUUAAGUGAGGCUAUUUUUUACUAACCCUCCCCAUGCCCCCCUUUCCUUCUAACACUCUUCCCUGCUUAAACCUUUCCAUUCCUAUUUCUACUUUUACAGCACCUGUGAUAUAACACCUGACACCCCUUCAAUAGUCCCUUUCUAGUGUCCUGGCUUGUACAGGCACUCCAAGUUAAACACAGUUCAGUCUAUGAUCCACAAAUCAGAGAGAACAUUUGGCAUUUGUAUUUUCUGGAUGUGGGUUACUUCAUGCAGUAUAAUUUUCCAGUUCCACUCAUUAACCUUCAAUUGUAAUAAUUUAACUCAUUUUACAGAUGAAUAGAAUUCCAUUGUACAUAUGUAUGUGUGUAUGGGUGGGUAGGUGGACGGAUGGGUGGAUCUAUAGCUAGAUAACAUUUUCAUUUUCCUUCUAUCUUUUGAUGAACUGGUCCCAUUUCCUGCAUAUUGUCAAGAGCAGCAAUGAACAGGAAUGGUCCCACAUCUCUAUGAGGCUUGAGAGCCCUGUGGGGUAAAUGCCCAGGAGUGGGACGGCUACCACGUGGAGAUUCUACUUUGAGCUUUGCAAAGAGCCUCCACACUGAUCUCUCCAGAGGAUGCACCAGUCGACACUCUCACCAUCAAUGAGAUGUUCCUCUUCCUCUUACCAAAGUUUUCAUUUUCAUUUGCCAAGUGACUAACUGAACCUUUUUCUUAAAUGUAAUUUGUUAUAUGUGAGGGUUUUAUAUACAGUCAGUGUGCGUUGUAACAGUAUCUAUUAAAAGUCAAUUAAGUUAAUCUAAAAUGCUAACCUAGCUACAUAGCACAUUUGACAUGAUUGCCCAGAUGGGAAGGGAAAACAUUGAUUUACAAUAACUUGUAACCCUUUUGGAUUCUGAAAAUGUUCAUAUAUCUAUCGAUGUGGAACUUGUUAACGUGUUUAGCAGCCAUACAUAUUUUUUCUUUUGAGAAAUCUCUCUCUGUUCAGAUCUAUGACUCAUUUUUAAUUGAGCUACUUGUUUUCUUGGUGUUUUGUUUUUUGAGUUGAAUACUUAAUAGCAAUCAUGUUGGACAUAGAUCUAGCAAAGACUUGCUCUCAUCUCCUAGCCUGGAGGCUACGUCUUCCCUUGAUUGAUCACUUCCUCUGCUGUACAGAAGCUCUCACUUUUUUCUUCAGUCGUUGGCCAUAUACCCUGAGCAACCAGAGCCCCACUGAGGAAAGUCCUUAUCUAUAGCUCUAUCGUGUACAGAGUCCCUACUUUUUUUCCUAGUUUCAGAUUGUCUGUGGCAUUCUUCAGUCAAUAUGAAGCUGGGUUUUUUGUGCAGGGUUAGAAAUAGUGAAGUCACUUCCGUCUAAUGCAUGUAGACAUCAGUUUUCCCAACGCCAUUCAUUGAAGAUGCCGUUUUCUUUUUUAAAAAUUAAGUGGCUGUAAUGGCGUGACUUAUGUCUGGGUCUUCUCUUUCGCUGAUUUAAAUGCAUUUUUAUGCCAGUAUCACAAUUUUUUUUGGUUUUGCUUUUGUUUAGUGUGGGUUUUCAAGACAGGGUUUCUCUAUGUCCUAGAACUCAGACUGGCCUCGAACUCAGAGAGCUUCCUUUUUCUGCUAGGAUUAAAGAUAGGUGUCACCAUCACCUAGCACCAUGCCAUUUUGUAUUAAUGUGACUGCAGUAUAUCUUGAAACCAGAUGUGGUGGUUUGAAUGAAAAUAGCCCCUUUGACUCACAAGUUUGAAUGUUUGAUUCCCAGUUGGUAAGGCUGUUUGGGAAGAAUUAGGAGAUAAAUCCUUGUUGGAGGAGGUGUAUGAGGCCCAGUCCCCUCUCUGCCUCCUGCUAAUGAAUCAGAUGGAAGGUUCUCAGCUUACAUAUCAUGUAAGCACAUGCUAGUGGCCAUGUCUGACCACCUGUUGCUGUUUCCUACCACAGUGGUCGUAGACUAACACCCUGUAACUGUUAGCAAGCCCCCAGUUAAUGCUUUCUUUCAUAAGUUGCCUUGAUCAUGGUAUCUCUUCACUGUAGUAGAACAAUAACUAAGACACUGGGUAUGGUAAUGCCUUCUGUAUUAUGUUUGCCUAGGACUGCUUUGGAUAUCUGUGAUCUUUGUACUUCUAUAUCAAUGUUAAGAUUUUUGUUUUUCAGUUUCUGUGAGUAUGGCAUGAGAAUUUUGAUUGGAAUAGCAUUGGUCCUGUCUAUUGCUUUUAUUAGGAUAGUUUCUUUCACAACUUUAAGUCUUAUCCAUUAGCAUGGGAUGUCUUUCAGUCUUUGUUUUCUUUGAACCUAUGGGUUUUGGGAUUGUUUGUUUACUGUUGUCAAUUCCCUGAUUUCUCUAAGUGUGCCAUUGGUAUGCAGUGGAUUUUUAUGUUAAUCUUGUAUACUGCUGCUUUGCUGAAAGUCUAGAUCAGCUCUAGUUUCCUGAUGAUAUGUUAGGGUUUCUUGUGUGUAGUAUUGUAUCACCAACUGACAGCGAUACUUGACUUGUUUCCCAGUCCUAUCUUUUUUAUUUCCUUCUCUUUGUCAUGUUGCUGUACCUUGAACACUAUUUUAAAUAGAAGUAGAGAAUGGCCAGCCUCAUAUUGUCCCUGAUUUUAAUAGAAUUGCCUCACGUUUUUCUCCAUUGAGCAUUUUAUUGACUAUGAGUCAUAUGUAGCUUUCAUUGGAUUGAAGUAUACUCUCUACGGGGUUUCUCAAAGGAUACAUUUUCACUGUGAACUGUAUUUACUCAUAACUGCCCAAAUUUCUUCAGUUGAUGAGUGAGCAGACAAGUAUAUCCAUAUAUGCAAUAGGAUGCUACUCAACAAUAAACAAUUGAUGAACAUUAUAUGAAU